rnacentral:rRNA from 1 species
UACGGAGGGUGCAAGCGUUAUCCGGAAUCACUGGGUUUAAAGGGUGCGUAGGCGGCUUGAUAAGUCAGAGGUGAAAGCCCGCAGCUUAACUGCGGAACGGCCUUUGAUACUGUUGAGCUUGAAACAGGACGAGGUUGGCGGAAUGUGGCAUGUAGCGGUGAAAUGCAUAGAUAUGCCAUAGAACACCGAUUGCGAAGGCAGCUGACUAGACCUGAUUUGACGCUGAGGCACGAAAGCGUGGGGAGCGAACAGG